UAACGUAAAAAACCCUCAAAAUAUCUCACUUCAUUUCAGUAGUGAGUGAGUGAGCCUGUAAUCCUGUAUCUAUAUAGAAAGAAGAAAAAAAUAAUAAAAAAACAAAUAAGAUGUCAACAUUUUUCAGAAGGUUAAGCAAAUCAACACCGAUCGCAUUAUCACAGGCGUUCCGAUCAGGCCAAUCUCAAUAUACUCCUCAUUUCCGGCUUCCUGUCGGAGCUAUUGCCGCCGUUUCCGGUGGAAUCUCCUAUUUUUAUUAUUUUUCUGAACCUAAUUUGGUUCACUUGGAUCAAAUCAAUGAGGAGACUGGUCCUAAAACUGCUCUCAUUCCUGAUAAGUGGGUAGAGUUUAAGCUACAAGAGAAGGCUAAAGUCAGCCACAAUACUCACUUAUACAGAUUCUCUUUUGAUCCGACUCUCGAAUUGGGACUUCAUGUUGCAUCGUGUCUCGUUACAAGGGCUCCAUUGGGUGAAGAUGCCGAGGGGAAAAAGAAAUAUGUUGUCCGCCCGUACACUCCAAUAUCAGAUCCAGAUUCGAAAGGUUACUUUGAUUUGAUGAUCAAGAUCUAUCCUGAAGGGAAAAUGAGUCAACAUUUUGACAAACUAAAGCCUGGUGAUGUGCUCGAAGUAAAAGGACCUAUCGAAAAGAUCAAAUAUACUCCCAAUAUGAAGAAACACAUUGGCAUGAUUGCAGGUGGGUCAGGAAUCACUCCAAUGCUUCAGGUUAUUGAGGCCAUUCUUAAGAAUCCAGAUGAUAACACCAAAGUAUCUUUAAUUUAUGCUAAUGUAUCUCCUGAUGACAUCCUGCUGAAGAAGAAACUUGAUAUGCUUGCUGCUAGCCACCCUAAUUUGAAGGUACAUUAUACUGUUGACAGUCCGUCAAAGUACUGGGUUGGAGGUACUGGUUACAUAUCAAAGGAUAUGGCCUCGAAAGGCUUACCUGCUCCAAGCGAUGAUACACUUAUACUUGUGUGUGGUCCACCUGGAAUGAUGGAACACAUAUCUGGCGGGAAGGCGAAAGAUUGGUCACAAGGCGAGGUGAGUGGUGUACUCAAAGAGCUUGGAUACACAGAAGAAAUGGUUUACAAGUUUUAAUGGAUCACUGCAGUGAUUGUUAUAAUGACAUUCAGUUGCGAUGCCCAGGGAUUUGGGCCAAACUGCUAUCUAAAUGGGUUUCAUUUGAAGGAGUACGAACUAUACUGGUUCUCAUUUUAGAGUCAUAUUCAUAACUUGUAGUUUUCUUCACGGCUGAUUCUCACGAUGAUUUGAUGUAGGCAUGUUUCCCAGACCAAACCUAAGCAUCACAACCUACCCCGAACUGAUCAAACUCUAUGAUGAAGCAGAAGUUUCUGUCCAAAGUCCAAUAAAACAUCAGAAACUCAUUCGAUUAUAGGCAUCAUCAAUUUGGGAAAUAUCAUCCGUUUAUGUUAACCAUUUAUUCUAUCUAAAUCUUUACACUAACUUUUUGGUCUAAGUACUUUCCAAAUCA